AAACAGACAAACAACACCAACUCAGCCCUGUUCCAAUGUAUCUUUCCUUUCUCUCUUCAUCGGUUAUAUGCUCCCUUUCCUUGAACAUACUCAAAUCAUUUCUAUUUGUCACAUCCGCCGAAUGCUGUGAAUGUGCAGGGUUACACUGUAUUUGAGGUAGAUACUGUAUGUACAUGAAGGCAGGGUUACACAGUAUUUGAGGUAGAUACUGUAUGUACAUGAAGGCAGGGUUACACGGUAUUUGAGGUAGAUACUGUAUGUACAUGAAGGCAGGGUUACACGGUAUUUGAGGUAGAUACUGUAUGUACAUGAAGGCAGGGUUACACGGUAUUUGAGGUAGAUACUGUAUGUACAUGAAGGCAGGGUUACACAGUAUUUGAGGUAGAUACUGUAUGUACAUGAAGGCAGGGUUACACGGUAUUUGAGGUAGAUACUGUAUGUACAUGAAGGCAGGGUUACAUGGUAUUUGAGGUAGAUACUGUAUGUACAUGAAGGCAGGGUUACAUGGUAUUUGAGGUAGAUACUGUAUGUACAUGAAGGCAGGGUUACACGGUAUUUGAGGUAGAUACUGUAUGUACAUGAAGGCAGGGUUACAUGGUAUUUGAGGUAGAUACUGUAUGUACAUGAAGGCAGGGUUACAUGGUAUUUGAGGUAGAUACUGUAUGUACAUGAAGGCAGGGUUACACGGUAUUUGAGGUAGAUACUGUAUGUACAUGAAGGCAGGGUUACAUGGUAUUUGAGGUAGAUACUGUAUGUACAUGAAGGCAGGGUUACAUGGUAUUUGAGGUAGAUACUGUAUGUACAUGAAGGCAGGGUUACACGGUAUUUGAGGUAGAUACUGUAUGUACAUGAAGGCAGGGUUACACGGUAUUUGAGGUAGAUACUGUAUGUACAUGAAGG